rnacentral:rRNA from 1 species
GACGAACGCUGGCGGCGUGCCUAAUACAUGCAAGUUGAGCGCUGAAGGUUGGUACUUGUACCAACUGGAUGAGCAGCGAACGGGUGAGUAACGCGUGGGGAAUCUGCCUUUGAGCGGGGGACAACAUUUGGAAACGAAUGCUAAUACCGCAUAAAAACUUUAAACACACGUUUUAAGUUUGAAAGAUGCAAUUGCAUCACUCAAAGAUGAUCCCGCGUUGUAUUAGCUAGUUGGUGAGGUAAAGGCUCACCAAGGCGAUGAUACAUAGCCGACCUGAGAGGGUGAUCGGACAAAUUGGGACUGAGAAACGGCCCAAACGCCUACGGGAGGCAGCAGUAGGGAAUCUUCGGAAAUGGACGAAAGUCUGACCGAGCAACGCCGCGUGAGUGAAGAAGGUUUUCGGAUCGUAAAACUCUGUUGGUAGAGAAGAACGUUGGUGAGAGUGGAAAGCUCAUCAAGUGACGGUAACUACCCAGAAAGGGACGGCUAACUACGUG